rnacentral:rRNA from 1 species
CCUACGGGAGGCAGCAGUGGGGAAUAUUGGGCAAUGGGCGCAAGCCUGACCCAGCAAUGCCGCGUGAAGGAAGAAGGCUUUCGGGUUGUAAACUUCUUUGACAGGGGAAGAGCAGCAGACGGUACCCUGACAACAAGCCACGGCUAACUACGUGCCAGCAGCCGCGGUAAUACGUAGGUGGCAAGCGUUGUCCGGAUUUACUGGGUGUAAAGGGCGUGUAGCCGGGAAGGCAAGUCAGAUGUGAAAUCCGGAGGCUCAACCUCCGAAUUGCAUUUGAAACUGUUUGUCUGGAGUACUGGAGAGGCAGACGGAAUUCCUAGUGUAGCGGUGAAAUGCGUAGAUAUUAGGAGGAACACCGGUGGCGAAGGCGGCCUGCUGGACUGUGACUGACGUUGAGGCCCGAAGGCGUGGGGAGCAAACAGGAUUAGAUACCCGGGUAGUC